AGCCCCACUAAGGUGAAACCGCGAAUGGCUCAUUAAAUCACACCUAAUCUACUGGAUAGUUAACAGUUACUUGGAUAACUGCGGUAAUUCUGGAGCUAAUACAUGCACAAAGCCUCGAACUUACGUGAGAGGCGCUUUUAUUAGAUCAAAACCAAACGGCUUCGGCUGUACUCUUGGUGACUCUGAAUAACUUUGGGCUGAUCGCAUAGCCUUGAGCUGGCGACAUAUCCUUCGAAGGUGUGCCCUAUCAACUGUCGACUGUGACAUAGACGCUCACAGUGGUUUUGACGGGUAACGGAGAAUCAGGGUUCGAUUCCGGAGAGGGAGCCUUAAAAACGGCUACCACAUCUAAGGAAGGCAGCAGGCACGCAAAUUACCCAAUGACCGAAGGUCGAGGUAGUGACGAAAAAUAACGAUCCAGGACUCAUCCGAGGCCCUGGAAUCGGAAUGAGUACACUUUAAAACCGUCCCCGAGGAUCUAUUGGAGGGCAAGUCUGGUGCCAGCAGCCGCGGUAAUUCCAGCUCCAAUAGCGUAUAUUAAAGUUGUUGUGGUUAAAAAGCUCGUAGUUGGAUCUCGGCGGUCCGAGGGCGGUUUACUUGCUAGUAUUACUGCCCUAUGGACCGUAGUUUUGUCGGAGGUUUUAGGGUGCUCUUAAUCGAGUGUCCUGAGAUGCCGACAGGUUUACUUUGAAAAAAUUAGAGUGCUCAAAGCAGGCUAUUACGCCUGAAUAUUCGUGCAUGGAAUAAUAGAAUAGGAAGUCGUUUCUAUUUUGUUGGUUUUCGGAAAUCGACUUAAUGAUUAAUAGGGACAGUCGGGGGCAUUUGUAUUCAAACGACAGAGGUGAAAUUCUUGGACCGUUUGAAGACAAACUACUGCGAAAGCAUUUGCCAAGAAUGUUUUCAUUAAUCAAGAACGAAAGUUAGAGGUUCGAAGGCGAUUAGAUACCGCCCUAGUUCUAACCAUAAACGAUGCCAGCUAGCGAUCUGCCGACGUUUUUUUUGUAGACUCGGCAGGAAGCUUCCGGGAAACCAAAGCAUUUGGGUUCCCAGGGGAAGUAUGGUUGCAAAGCUGAAACUUAAAGGAAUUGACGGAAGGGCACCACCAGGAGUGGAGCCUGUGGCUUAAUUUGACUCAACACGGGAAAUCUCACCAGGCCCGGACACUGGAAGGAUUGACAGAUUGAUAGCUCUUUCUUGAUUCGGUGGGUGGUGGUGCAUGGCCGUUCUUAGUUGGUGGAGUGAUUUGUCUGGUUAAUUCCGAUAACGAACGAGACUCUGUCCUGCUAAAUAGUGUCCGCUUCUCUUUUGAGCGGACAAUUCUUCUUAGAGGGACUGGUGACACUUAGUCGCACGAGAUUGAGCAAUAACAGGUCUGUGAUGCCCUUAGAUGUUCUGGGCCGCACACGCGCUACACUGAAUAGCUCAGCGUGUUUUGUCCCUUUCCGAGAGGAACGGGUAAACCGCUGAACCCUAUUCGUGGUAGGGAUCGGGGCUUGCAAUUAUUCCCCGUGAACCAGGAAUUCCCAGUAGGCGCAAGUCAUAAGCUUGCGUCGAUUACGUCCCUGCCCUUUGUACACACCGCCCGUCGCUACUACCGAUUGAACGUUUUAGUGAGGUCCUCGGACUGUUUGCCUGG
rnacentral:rRNA from 1 species